rnacentral:rRNA from 1 species
CAGUCGACGGGAUCGGGGGCUUCGCGUCCCCGUGAGAGUGGCGCACGGGUGCGUAACGCGUGAGCAACCUGCCCGUCCCAGGGGGAUAGCCUGGAGAAAUCCGGAUUAAUACCGCAUGAUAAUGCCCGUCCGCAUGGGCCUUCGUUUAAAUAUUCAUAGGGGACGGAUGGGCUCGCGUGACAUUAGCUGGUUGGCGGGGUAACGGCCCACCAAGGCGACAAUGUCUAGGGGCUCUGAGAGGAGAAACCCCCACACUGGUACUGAGACACGGACCAGACUCCUACAGGAGGCAGCAGUAAGGAAUAUUGGUCAAUGGGGGGAACCCUGAACCAGCCAUGCCGCGUGCACGAAGACGGCCCUACGGGUUGUAAACUGCUUUUGCACGGUAAUAACCCCCGGUAUGUAUACCGGGCUGAAUGUACCGUGAGAAUAAGGAUCGCCUAACUCCGUGC